ACGAACGCUGGCGGCGUGCUUAACACAUGCAAGUCACACGGAAAGGCCCUGCUUUUGUGGGGUGCUCGAGUGGCGAACGGGUGAGUAACACGUGAGUAACCUGCCCUUGACUUUGGGAUAACUUUAGGAAACUGGGGCUAAUACCGGAUAGGAGCUCCUGCUGCAUGGUGGGGGUUGGAAAGUUUCGGCGGUUGGGGAUGGACUCGCGGCUUAUCAGCUUGUUGGUGGGGUAGUGGCUUACCAAGGCUUUGACGGGUAGCCGGCCUGAGAGGGUGACCGGCCACAUUGGGACUGAGAUACGGCCCAGACUCCUACGGGAGGCAGCAGUGGGGAAUAUUGCACAAUGGGCGGAAGCCUGAUGCAGCAACGCCGCGUGCGGGAUGACGGCCUUCGGGUUGUAAACCGCUUUCGCCUGUGACGAAGCGUGAGUGACGGUAAUGGGUAAAGAAGCACCGGCUAACUACGUG
rnacentral:rRNA from 1 species